rnacentral:tRNA from 1 species
ACUUUCAAAGGACAACAGUAGUCCACUAAUUUUAGGAAUUACCCCCUCUUGGUGCAACUCCAAGUGAAAGUU